rnacentral:rRNA from 1 species
UACGGAAGGGGCUAGCGUUGUUCGGAAUUACUGGGCGUAAAGAGCGCGUAGGCGGCUUACCAAGUUGGGGGUGAAAUCCCGGAGCUCAACUCCGGAACUGCCUUCAAAACUGGUAGGCUCGAGUCCGGAAGAGGGGCGUGGAAUUCCCAGUGUUGAGGUGAAAUUCGUAGAUAUUGGGAAGCAUACCGGUGGCGAAGGCGGCGCCCUGUUCCGGUACUGACGCUGAGGCGCGAAAGCGUGGGGAGCAACCAGG